UGCCCUGGGUAAGUCGGGGCCUAAGGCGAGGCAGAAAUGCGUAGUCGAUGGACAGCAGGUUGAGAUUCCUGCACCCGUAAUGAACAGAACUGUAGUGACACGGAAGGUAAGACAGAGCCGGGAAUGAGAAAACCGGUGCAAGCACAAUAGAUGUGCGGGAGGAAAAACCCCCGUAUAAGUCGAAGGUGUGAUGCGGACCGAAAAAGAGUAGGGAAGCUGUUAAGCAAGCCGUCAAGAAAAGCUGCUAUUGUUUCAUUAUGGCCCGUACCGUAAACCGACACAGGUGGAUGGGGAGAGAAUCCUAAGGCCGGCGGAAGAAGUAUUGUUAAGGAACUCGGCAAAAUGACCCCGUAACUUCGGGAGAAGGGGUGCCUGCGAGAGCAGGCCGCAGAGAAGAGGCCCAAGCAACUGUUUAGCAAAAACACAGGUCUAUGCAAAACCGAAAGGUGAGGUAUAUGGGCUGACGCCUGCCCGGUGCUGGAAGGUUAAGGGGAGUGGUCAGGAAACGAAGCCACGAACUUAAGCCCCAGUAAACGGCGGCCGUAACAAUAACGGUCCUAAGGUAGCGAAAUUCCUUGUCGGGUAAGUUCCGACCCGCACGAAAGGCGUAAUGAUUUGGGCGCUGUCUCGACAAUACAUCCGGUGAAAUUGAAGUGCCAGUGAAGAUGCUGGCUACCUGCGCCAGGACGGAAAGACCCCAUGGAGCUUUACUCCAGCUUGAUACUGGGACCCGGUAUUGCAUGUACAGGAUAGGUGGGAGGCUAGGAAAUGUGGACGCCAGUCUGCAUGGAGCCGCUGUUGGGAUACCACCCUUGUGGUGCUGGGUUUCUAACCAGAGGCCGUGAACCGGUCUGGGGACAAUGUCAGGUGGGGAGUUUGACUGGGGCGGUCGCCUCCGAAAGGGUAUCGGAGGCGCCCAAAGGUUCCCUCAGAAUGGUUGGAAACCAUUCGAAGAGUGCAAAGGCAGAAGGGAGCUUGACUGCGACACCGACGGGUGGAGCAGGUACGAAAGUAGGGCUUAGUGAUCCGGUGGAAUUUAAGUGGGAAUGCCAUCGCUCAACGGAUAAAAGCUACCCUGGGGAUAACAGGCUGAUCACUCCCAAGAGUUCACAUCGACGGAGUGGUUUGGCACCUCGAUGUCGGCUCAUCGCAUCCUGGGGCUGAAGUCGGUCCCAAGGGUUGGGCUGUUCGCCCAUUAAAGCGGUACGCGAGCUGGGUUCAGAACGUCGUGAGACAGUUCGGUCCCUAUCCGGCGUGGGCGUAGGAUAUCUGAGAGGAGCUGUCCUUAGUACGAGAGGACCGGGAUGGACUGACCUCUGGUGUACCGGUUGGCGAUCAACGCCACGGCCGGGUAGCCAUGUCGGGACGGGAUAAACGCUGAAGGCAUCUAAGCGUGAAGCCCCCCUCAAGAUGAGAUAUCCCAUUCGAAAGAAGUAAGACCCCUUGAAGACGACGAGGUUGAUAGGGCAGGGGUGGAAGUGCUGUAAGGCAUGGAGCUGACUGCUACUAAUCGGUCGAGGGCUUGACC
rnacentral:rRNA from 1 species